rnacentral:rRNA from 1 species
UUCUGGUUGAUCCUGCCGGAGGCUACCGCUAUUGGAGUUCGAUUAAGCCAUGCGAGUCGAGAGUCUUAGGGACUCGGCGCACCGCUCAGUAACACGUGGGUAACCUGCCCUAUGCUGGGGAAUAACCUCGGGAAACUGAGAAUAAUGCCCCAUAGCCCACUACGCCUGGAACGGUGAGUGGGUCAAAGCUCCAGCGGCAUAGGAUGGGCCUGCGCCGUAUCAGGUUGUAGGGGGUGUAAAGUACCCUCUAGCCAUCAACGCGUACGGGUGUUGGGAGACAUUGCCCGGAGAUGGAUUCUGAGACACGAAUCCAGACCCUACGGGGUGCAGCAGGCGCGAAAACUUGGCAAUGCGAGCAAUCGUGACCAGGGAACUCCAAGUGCGUAGGGUAAGACCUACGCUUUUCUUGACUCUUCAAAGGUCUUGGAAUAAGGGGUGGGUAAGGACGGUGCCAGCCGCCGCGGUAAUACCGGCGCCUCAAGUGGUAGUCGCUUUUAUUGGGCCUAAAACGUCCGUAGCCGGUCUGGUGCAUUCGUGGGUAAAUCAACCCGCUCAACGGGUUGAAUUCUGCGAGCACGGCCAGACUUGGGACC